CCCUCAAGAACAGGGUUUGGAGAGCUUCCGGGUUGGUGAACUCGGCCGUGGAGGUCCCGGGAGAGGGAGGGAAGCCCCGCUCCCUUCCGCGUCGCUGGCCCCGUGCGUCUCUUCAGCGGGCUGCUCCUGAGUUGUGUCCUUCUUGGAUAAACUGGUGACCUAAAGACGGCCUUCUUACGUGUGCGAGGGUAACAGCAGUAGAACCGCAAGGAGAAGCUGUCUGAGGGCUGAGCCCGGCGGAGCUCCCACAUGGAGAAGAACCAACAGGGACCGGGAGGGGUCAGUACAGAUGGAAGGAGACCAUCUCAGACAUCCUUGCAACAGAACACUGAUGGCCUCGGAUUGACGUGGGAGCCCAGAAGCGACAAUGAAGAAACGUUUAUGCCAAACUUAAAGUGCCUCCUAGACAGGCAAGCUUAUCACUGGAGUGGGACAAUCAGUGCUGCCCCCAGGGGUAAGGCUCUCCUGGCACCCUG